GUGCGGAGGGGCAAGGGGUGGCCGUUAAGGCGCGCGCGCGCCGGGCUGGAGCCGGUGGAGUCUCCGUCCCCUCCCCUCAGUCCCGCUUGGCAGCCGCGGCGGCAGCAGCAGCAGCUCCUCCAGCUCCUCCGGUAGCGGUGCCGCCGCUGCCUCUUUCUCCUGGCUCUUCUUUCCCCCCCUCUCCCUUCCCAGCCCCGCUCGCAGGGCACGAUGCAGUUUAUGUUGCUUUUUAGUCGCCAGGGGAAACUGAGACUCCAGAAGUGGUAUGUCCCGUUAUCUGACAAAGAAAAGAAGAAAAUCACAAGGGAACUUGUUCAAACAGUAUUAGCUCGCAAACCGAAAAUGUGCAGCUUCCUGGAAUGGAGAGACCUGAAGAUUGUCUACAAAAGAUAUGCAAGCCUCUAUUUUUGCUGUGCUAUCGAAGAUCAGGACAACGAACUAAUAACUCUGGAAAUAAUUCAUCGCUAUGUAGAACUUCUUGACAAGUAUUUUGGCAGUGUAUGUGAACUUGAUAUCAUCUUCAAUUUUGAAAAAGCCUAUUUCAUUCUGGAUGAGUUCCUUCUAGGAGGGGAAGUUCAGGAGACUUCCAAGAAAAAUGUUCUCAAAGCCAUUGAACAGGCAGAUCUUUUACAGGAGAGCCAGAACGAAGACUGGGGAGGUUUGUCUGAGGAUAUCUUAUGAUUAAGAACAAUCUAAGGCAUUAGUCCUUUUGACCCCCAUCUAAAUGAUUGCCACGUCAUGAAUACUUUAAUGUCCCAGUGUACUAAAUGGCUUCAUUCAUCAUGCAUGCAGAAUUGCAGAGGAGAUAGACCUGUGACUUAAUCAUGGCAGAACAUUAUCAUCAGCCUGGUGAAUCCAGUCAUCUUGAAUCUAAUAAGAGUUCCACAUCCAUUCUCUGCUGUUGUACUUUCCUCUUUCCCCUCUGUUUUACAGUGUUGUCUCUUCACAUGUCUCAUUUCAACAAAUCUUAUGUUUGUUGGUAUAUGGUUUAACAUUUUUACUGUGUAAGCCUGAAGUCUUAUGUUUAAAAGUUUUGUAGAAUUUUCUGACAUAAACAUUGAUAAACUGCAGCACCGAUACUGUAACAUGACUUGACCUGUGUUUAUCUUUCAAAUAAGCUAUGGUGGUAUUUAAAUAUACACCUAAUACUUGUAGGUAAAGUUAAUAUUUGCAGGGAAGCUAGUGAAGGCAGUAGUAUGUGAAAAGUGUAUACACACAAGUAUUAAAUGAUGCUACAAUUCUACACAGACUUUGCAUCUUAAAGAUGCACAUAGCCUUUUCUGAGAUAGGCAUGAUGGUGUAACUGACCUUAGGAGGAAGGCAGAAUUGAUUAGGGUAAGAGAACAACUUAUGUAAAUCUGAAGUGACAACAUUUGUAUUUAAAUGCUUAAAACACUCCUGUGAGUAUUUGAACCAUUGCUGCUACUGAAGGAGAGAACAAGCCCAUUGCUUUACAGAUGGUUAGGGUUGGAAAGAAUUUGUUUUUUAAAGUCUGUUAACAGCAUACUUGAAAUAAGUCUCCUUUGACUGGCAUUUCCAGUUUUAAGCGCAGACUGCCUUGUAUGUCAGAACUGCCACAAGGAUGAAUAUAAUAAGUACCUUUCAAUUAAAGUGUGGGCAGAGUGAGAGGGCAUGCAUUGUGUCCUCUAUUUGCCUUGUCAAAAAGAAAUUUGUUUUCUAAAACCAAUGCUGUUUUUGAAAACUGUUUAAUUAGCAAGGAGGUGGUUACUGACCACAAACAGCUGAUUCCACGUGCUAUAUGUGGUAAUGCACUACCUUUCAAAUGUUAAACUGACGUAAAAAUGGGAGAUGUAGGGGAUUAGACAAAAGAUUUGGAUUGGAUGUGCAGCAUUCUGAAAUCUUAGAAAACAAGAUCAUAGGAGUGGUUUUCCAUUUCCAAGUUUGCCUUUUUUCUGUAAGACAUUAACAAUGUGUUUGAAUGUCUGGUUAAUGCUGCUUUAGCCUGCAUUAUUUCAUGCCUGUUGGCUUAAAAUGCUGUGCAUUGAGCUGUAAUGAGAUGCUGUUUUUCUUGUUAUCUGUAUACAGCUGCUUGCUUCUAAAUGACUAGGUAAUGAAUUAGCUUUCCUGGCAUGUUUGAAAUAAAGUAUUGCAUGCACUUUUGUCUCAUGUGAAUGACUUUUUUUUCCUCAUCUGUUCUGAUAUACUUCAAAUUUGCAUUGUUUGCCUUGGGUGAUUCUGAGCUGCAGGUAGUGUAUAUUAUAUUAUUGCAGAAUGUUUUCCAUAACAAUUGAAUAAAAUGUUUGAUGCUUCCUAAAACAACGUGAACAAAACAUAAUGUAAUUCACUUUUAAGAAAAAAAGUUACAAUUGAUUAAAUUAUUCCUCUAGCACAACACAUUAGCUGUGUAGGUGUUGCUUUUGAAUUUAUAUGACUGCAUGUAGGAAGUGAUGUCUGCCUCAAGGUUACUGCUGUAGUAUUAAAAAAAUCAUACUGAUUUUUACUGGUGAGCUCUCUAUGGACAAGUAGCCAAUAUCCUUGAAAUACAUUGCUUUAAAUUCAUAGCCAAUGACCUUGAUUUACUUGAGGAAAUUUAAUCUUUAAGUAUAUGCCUGGUGAAAAUUACCCACAACUUUGAAUUGGCAGUGGAGAUAAUUCUAAAGUAGCAGCAGUGCACAGUAUUUCUUCAUAGCUACUGGGCAACGUCUUUUUUUUCAGAUAGUUUUGUAAAUAUCCUGUUUCACCACUGAGUAACUGUAAGUGUUCUCUGCUGUCCAGUCAAUUUGAAACUGAAAAGUUGUAUUACAAUACUUUCAAGACACUGAAGUUCUUGAGGAGUUAUGUUCUGUUUAAAUACUCUGAAUUCUGUUGCUAUAGUUAAGAAUAUAGGCUUUAAAUUGGUGAGCAGAGGAGGCAACAUCGUCUAAACUGAAUGCAACAAAGGAAUCUGGGAGCUUAACAACAGAUUAUAUUAAAAUUGCUACAUAGACUUUUGACCGGUGUCUCCUUUUGGGGGGGUUUGUGUUAAAAAUACACAUGUAAAUCUUUAAUCCUGCCAUCCUUUGUUGCUGCAGUUCCAAGAAUAUUUAAAUACUUCAUCAAUGAGAGAAACCCCACUGUAUCUUUUAAUGCACAGAGUAUCUUGUUUUCAGUUUUAACUUGCCUUUCCCUUGCAUUUUCUCAUUUGCUGCUGUAUUUUGGAAGCAGUCUCAGUGCUUAGAGGUGGCCACUUCCAAGCACUGAUGGACUUUUAAAUGAAGUUGCACUUAAAAUUUCAUAGCUUGUUCCUUCAAUGCUAAAUAGUCUUAGGCAUGAACUGAAUGGGGGUUGUAAAUGUGAUGAUUUGGUGCUACAUAAUCCAAGUUGAUGAGAGACAAUGUUUUGGUGUUACUUGCAAGAUUUAAGGCAUUUAAUUAUCUAUUAUACCGACGUUUUUUAAAAUAAUAUUUAGAAAGUAGUUGAAAAAUAUUUGCUGCCUUAACUAUUAUCUGCUUUUUUUUCUGCUUCGUGAUAUGUCUUGUUUUAGGAUGCUAAAGAAGCAGAGACCCCACGUAGUGUCCUUGAAGAAAUUGGAUUGACAUAAAUCUUCACUUCAGCUGGCGACAUCUCAGUGUUUCAUACUGUAAAUGUUCACUGCCUUCAUUGUAAUGUUUAGCUAAUGGUGUAAGAUGCUGUUUGUCAGUAUUACUGUUUUGCUAAGCUGCUUCAUUCAGGCCUACAAGAAAAAUGCUCCUUUGAAAAGGGAACAAGAAACUAAAGUCCAAAAAAUCACAAAUGAAAGGGAAUUGGAAUUAAAUUGACUCAGUGUCUCCCUUCACUGCAUUUUUAGGAAGAUUGCAUUUGACUUCAAUAAGUGUACUGUUUUUUUAUAAGCAAACUUGACUUCAGGAAAUAUAUCAUGAUGACAUAGUGUAUUUAAAUGGGAAGAAAAUACAUGGACAACUCCAAAUAUGACAUGUUAUGGUGUAGAAAUUGUGUUUAUGCAACCAAAGACUUUUGUUCAUCUGCAUUUUAGUCUACACUUGUGAUAACUCUGCUUGUUUCAGUUGAUGCAUAAAGAUCGGAAAUACCUGUUUACUACUGAAUUAGUCAUUAUACCAAAGAAUCCUGUUAGGAUCUGCAUAUCAAACUGGUAAAAACUGUUAAGGUGAUACUGCUUUUUGCAAGAAAACUGUAAUCUAAUCAAUUCACUAGAAAUGAAGGUGUACUUAAAUGUAGCUACCUUGAGCAAAACAGUGCAAGUUACUAUACUAUACUAAAAAGGGAAUGCAUAUGGGAAAAAUCCAAAAAUUAUUCCAAAAAAGGGAACUAUUGUUUUGAUGUGGUAUUAGCUUGCUCUGAGCAUAAAGACAAAACAGGAGCAAGGCUUUCUUACUGUACAGGUCAGUAGUGAAAAUUGGAUGCUUUUGAAGAUCAGAGUUGCAGAUUGGGAGUUGAAGGAGCUUUACAAAAGGGACUUUUUAUUGUUUUCUUUCAAACUCUGCAAGUUAAUUUGUAUUUAUUGGUGUUUACUUUUUAAUGGGUGGAUAGAUACCUUAAAAAAAAAAAAAAACCACAGUAACUGUCAAUGUAAUUUUGACUGCUUUUCUUGACUUACACCUUCAACAUGUGACACAUCCCUUAUGAGACUCCAAUGUGAUGUGCAGUUGAACCAACUAAUUUGCAGUGAGAGCAUUUAAAUUAGAUUUGUAUGCUAGAUUGACUACGAAUCAUGUAAAGCGAUAUCAAGUAGUAUUUUAAUAUCAAGUAGUAUUUUGACACUUGUAGCAGACUUUGAGUAAUUAUAAACAAAACCUGUUUCACUUGAGGAAAUUAAAUUCCUGUAUGCUUGUGAGUUUUGCGGAGGUAGUGUCUCAGUUGGGAGUAGCCAAGUUCUACUGUGCGUAUGUGUGGGCUUGGAGAAGGUGGGGCUGCCCCUGUUCCCUGCAACUGCACUUCAGGAGACAAUGUUUUGGCUUGUUCACUUCAGUAGUGCCAUGUUUUCACAAAAACUUAGCUUUGGUGUUGUUGCUGCCAGCAUAAGCAUUCGCGCAGCCAUCUGGAGAGCUAGGCUGUGAGCGCCAUGUGAUCUAGCUUAAAUCUAACUCGCCAGGAAAGGCUCAGUGUUGCCGCUUGCGAGUCCCCCGAUCGAGAUCCCAGCAUAAAUGCUUGUAGCAGCCGGGGUGGUUCUGCAUGCUUCUGUGGCCCUGCCAGCGUGGAGCCUGUGAACUUAGUGUUAGAAUUCGUCUGCUUAUGCCCUGUCUGGGAUUUAAACAUAUCUGAUCACUAGAGACUGUUUUUAACCUAGGGUGUGCAACCACAGUGGUGUGCAUGUCCCUAGGGCACAGUGUGCAGGGAUAGGUGAAGUUAAAGUGGAAGGCAGAAUGACCCUGUGUGUGAGAUUGAAGUGGUAAAAUGACCUUCAUUUAAGUCAAAUCCGAAGCAAUUUUAUAUGUAUUAAACAUGUUUUUAAAGUUUACACUGUCACUUGUAUGUGCUUGGCUGGAUUAAGCUUUGUUGUGAUCGUGACAAACUGUUUGACCUCUGUCACAUUGGUUUAGUUGUAAUAAAUGUCCAUUUUUACACCA